rnacentral:lncRNA from 1 species
GCAUGGCACAGGAUGCUGGGCAAGGCUGGCAGGCCCGGGAGAGCCUGUGGCCAGCCUGGGUCCAGGAAGUGGGCAGCUGCCACAGAGGGGCCUCCGAGGCUAGCUGCCUCCUAACUUCCUCACGGCACACCAUUCUGCCGUCCUGAGUCUUCUCAAGGUUGGAAGGUGCCCAGAUCCAGGGAGAUGGUGCUGGCUCUUUGGUGGCUGUGGAGUGUCCAGACAGAUGAGCUGGAAUCCUUCAGUUUCUCUGCCUCUCCUGUCAAGUUGGGGUAGCACUGCUUGGACUCUUGCCCCGGCUGCAUUGACCAAGCCUUGAUGUUGCCUUGACCAAGCCUUGAUGUUGCCUUCUUUGCCAAACCACUGGCCACGAUGUUGCUGGCACAGCAGCCCAAAGGCAGCUGCUUGUCCAUCUCAGCCUGACCCAGCCUUCAUGCGGGCUCCAUCUCAGCCAUUGUAAAGCAAGCUCCUAGUUCUAGUUCUCCCCCACAAAUUUUAUUGCUAAAUAA